UUAAGCGACUAAGCGUACACGGUGGAUGCCCUGGCAGUCAGAGGCGAUGAAGGACGUGCUAAUCUGCGAAAAGCGUCGGUAAGGUGAUAUGAACCGUUAUAACCGGCGAUGUCCGAAUGGGGAAACCCAGUGCAAUUCGUUGCACUAUCGUUAACUGAAUACAUAGGUUAACGAGGCGAACCGGGGGAACUGAAACAUCUAAGUACCCCGAGGAAAAGAAAUCAACCGAGAUUCCCCCAGUAGCGGCGAGCGAACGGGGAGCAGCCCAGAGUCUGAAUCAGCUUGUGUGUUAGUGGAACGGUCUGGAAAGUCCGACGGUACAGGGUGAUAGUCCCGUACACCAAAAUGCACAGGUUGUGAACUCGAAGAGUAGGGCGGGACACGUGGUAUCCUGUCUGAAUAUGGGGGGACCAUCCUCCAAGGCUAAAUACUCCUGACUGACCGAUAGUGAACCAGUACCGUGAGGGAAAGGCGAAAAGAACCCCGGCGAGGGGAGUGAAAAAGAACCUGAAACCGUGUACGUACAAGCAGUGGGAGCACCUUCGGGUGUGACUGCGUACCUUUUGUAUAAUGGGUCAGCGACUUAUAUUCUGUAGCAAGGUUAACCGUAUAGGGGAGCCGCAGGGAAACCGAGUCUUAACUGGGCGUUAAGUUGCAGGGUAUAGACCCGAAACCCGGUGAUCUAGCCAUGGGCAGGUUGAAGGUUGGGUAACACUAACUGGAGGACCGAACCGACUAAUGUUGAAAAAUUAGCGGAUGACUUGUGGCUGGGGGUGAAAGGCCAAUCAAACCGGGAGAUAGCUGGUUCUCCCCGAAAGCUAUUUAGGUAGCGCCUCGUGAACUCAUCUUCGGGGGUAGAGCACUGUUUCGGCUAGGGGGUCAUCCCGACUUACCAACCCGAUGCAAACUACGAAUACCGAAGAAUGUUAUCACGGGAGACACACGGCGGGUGCUAACGUCCGUCGUGAAGAGGGAAACAACCCAGACCGCCAGCUAAGGUCCCAAAGUCAUGGUUAAGUGGGAAACGAUGUGGGAAGGCACAGACAGCCAGGAUGUUGGCUUAGAAGCAGCCAUCAUUUAAAGAAAGCGUAAUAGCUCACUGGUCGAGUCGGCCUGCGCGGAAGAUGUAACGGGGCUAAACCAUGCACCGAAGCUGCGGCAGCGACACUAUGUGUUGUUGGGUAGGGGAGCGUUCUGUAAGCCUGCGAAGGUGACCUGUGAGGGUUGCUGGAGGUAUCAGAAGUGCGAAUGCUGACAUAAGUAACGAUAAAGCGGGUGAAAAGCCCGCUCGCCGGAAGACCAAGGGUUCCUGUCCAACGUUAAUCGGGGCAGGGUGAGUCGACCCCUAAGGCGAGGCCGAAAGGCGUAGUCGAUGGGAAACAGGUUAAUAUUCCUGUACUUGGUGUUACUGCGAAGGGGGGACGGAGAAGGCUAUGUUAGCCGGGCGACGGUUGUCCCGGUUUAAGCAUGUAGGCUGAUUAUCCAGGCAAAUCCGGAUAAUCAAGGCUGAGGUGUGAUGACGAGGCACUACGGUGCUGAAGUAACAAAUGCCCUGCUUCCAGGAAAAGCCUCUAAGCAUCAGGUAACAUCAAAUCGUACCCCAAACCGACACAGGUGGUCAGGUAGAGAAUACCAAGGCGCUUGAGAGAACUCGGGUGAAGGAACUAGGCAAAAUGGUGCCGUAACUUCGGGAGAAGGCACGCUGGUGUGUAGGUGAAGUCCCUGCGGAUGGAGCUGAGACCAGUCGAAGAUACCAGCUGGCUGCAACUGUUUAUUAAAAACACAGCACUGUGCAAACACGAAAGUGGACGUAUACGGUGUGACGCCUGCCCGGUGCCGGAAGGUUAAUUGAUGGGGUUAUCCGUAAGGAGAAGCUCUUGAUCGAAGCCCCGGUAAACGGCGGCCGUAACUAUAACGGUCCUAAGGUAGCGAAAUUCCUUGUCGGGUAAGUUCCGACCUGCACGAAUGGCGUAAUGAUGGCCAGGCUGUCUCCACCCGAGACUCAGUGAAAUUGAACUCGCUGUGAAGAUGCAGUGUACCCGCGGCAAGACGGAAAGACCCCGUGAACCUUUACUAUAGCUUGACACUGAACAUUGAGCCUUGAUGUGUAGGAUAGGUGGGAGGCUUUGAAGCGUGGACGCCAGUCUGCGUGGAGCCAACCUUGAAAUACCACCCUUUAAUGUUUGAUGUUCUAACGUUGGCCCCUUACCGGGGUUGCGGACAGUGUCUGGUGGGUAGUUUGACUGGGGCGGUCUCCUCCCAAAGCGUAACGGAGGAGCACGAAGGUUAGCUAAUCCUGGUCGGACAUCAGGAGGUUAGUGCAAUGGCAUAAGCUAGCUUGACUGCGAGCGUGACGGCGCGAGCAGGUGCGAAAGCAGGUCAUAGUGAUCCGGUGGUUCUGAAUGGAAGGGCCAUCGCUCAACGGAUAAAAGGUACUCCGGGGAUAACAGGCUGAUACCGCCCAAGAGUUCAUAUCGACGGCGGUGUUUGGCACCUCGAUGUCGGCUCAUCACAUCCUGGGGCUGAAGUAGGUCCCAAGGGUAUGGCUGUUCGCCAUUUAAAGUGGUACGCGAGCUGGGUUUAGAACGUCGUGAGACAGUUCGGUCCCUAUCUGCCGUGGGCGCUGGAGAAUUGAGGGGGGCUGCUCCUAGUACGAGAGGACCGGAGUGGACGCAUCACUGGUGUUCGGGUUGUCAUGCCAAUGGCACUGCCCGGUAGCUAAAUGCGGAAGAGAUAAGUGCUGAAAGCAUCUAAGCACGAAACUUGCCCCGAGAUGAGUUCUCCCUGAGACUUUAAGUCUCCUGAAGGAACGUUGAAGACGACGACGUUGAUAGGCCGGGUGUGUAAGCGCAGCGAUGCGUUGAGCUAACCGGUACUAAUGAACCGUGAGGCUUAACCUU
rnacentral:rRNA from 1 species